GCCUACGGGGGGCAGCAGUGAGGAAUAUUGGUCAAUGGCCGAGAGGCUGAACCAGCCAAGUCGCGUGAGGGAAGAAUGUCCUAUGGAUUGUAAACCUCUUUUGUCAGGGAGCAAAGUCACCCACGUGUGGGUGUUGGAGAGUACCUGAAGAAAAAGCAUCGGCUAACUCCGUGCCAGCAGCCGCGGUAAUACGGAGGAUGCGAGCGUUAUCCGGAUUUAUUGGGUUUAAAGGGUGCGUAGGCGGACGCUUAAGUCAGCGGUAAAAUUGCGGGGCUCAACCUCGUCGAGCCGUUGAAACUGGGUGC
rnacentral:rRNA from 1 species